rnacentral:misc_RNA from 1 species
GGGAGCUUAACGAUUGAUGAGUUCAAUACAAGAGCUGAGGAGCUUGAGAAAGAAGAGACGCUGGCCAUGCAACUUUAUCCGGGGUCAAAAGGAUCUGGGAUCACAGAAGUGCUGUGUGAACACAAGAAAACUGUGAAGCUGCCUUUUGCCCAUGGCCUUUGUGAAAGUUGUUAUACUGAUUUUGUAAAACUUUCAGGUGGGCUUGAUGGAGGAUCUGAACCUCCAUCCUUCCAACGUGCUGAGAGGGAAAGAUUAAUGGCAAAACAAGAUGCUGAAGAAAUUGCGGAGGAUCCAAGUUUUCCCAUGUCCAGUCAGAUGGAGAACAAUGUCGGCGAGUAUUUGGAGCCUGAAAAGGAAGGGAACACCCAGAGUGUGAAAAAUGUGCAUAUAUCAGGAUCUGAGCAAGUAGGAGCAUUCUCUGCGGUUAAAACUGAUCAUGUUGCGACUCCUGAUACAUUACAUGACAUGGAUGGUAUUGAUCAUGAUGAAUCAGGAAACUUUUCCGAUAUCGAUGAUGUAGAGGUUGACAGUUAUCUUCACAAUGAGCAGGAAAAGAAAUACAAGAAGAUCAUUUGGGAAACAAUGAAUCGAGAAUAUCUUGAGGAACAAGCAGCCAAGGAAGCGGCUGUAUUAGAAGCCAAGAAGCAACAUGAGUUCAUUUUAGCUAACUGUCCGGAGGAUGUACAAAAGUUUGCUGCUGCUACUGCUGCUUCUGUUGCAAAGUCAAAAAAGGAAAAACAACAGAAGAGGGCUGCAGAAUUGAAAAAUACCGGCCCUGCUCAAAC